rnacentral:lncRNA from 1 species
CCUCAGGCUUUCCUGGUGACCACUAACCAAUAGGAAGCGCUGAAACAACCCCUGUGUGGGUGAGCGUGUGGUCCCGGGCCCAAGUGCCGAGCGUAGGCCGGCUAGCGCGAGGCGUGGAGUUGAGAAGACAGUUAUUCUGCCUAGGAUGCCAAGAGGGUUCUCUGCGCCCAGGAGUGCCACGCCUGCCCGAUUUUCCGCGGUUUUUAAGGAGUAGCGCUUCGGUAGCCGGGAAACUGGAGGAUUGAACCAGCUGCCCUUUGACCCUGCCAACAACAACGAGCCCCUGCAGUUUGGUAGUGCCAGUGGCCCUCUGGUCACAGAAGGCCUCAUUGAAAAUGGAGGGGACUCAAGCAAGAAAAGAAAGAGAACAAAUGCUCCUUCAGGUAAGAUAGGUGAUAAAAUAGCGUCUUUAGACAGUGCUGUUUAGUCAACAUUUUCCCUGAGUCUAG